rnacentral:rRNA from 1 species
GGCGACCGGCGCACGGGUGAGUAACACGUAUCCAACCUGCCGAUGACUCGGGGAUAGCCUUUCGAAAGAAAGAUUAAUACCCGAUGGCAUAGUUCUUCCGCAUGGUAGAACUAUUAAAGAAUUUCGGUCAUCGAUGGGGAUGCGUUCCAUCAGGUUGUUGGCGGGGUAACGGCCCACCAAGCCUUCGAUGGAUAGGGGUUCUGAGAGGAAGGUCCCCCACAUUGGAACUGAGACACGGUCCAA